UACGGGGGGGGCAAGCGUUGUUCGGAAUUACUGGGCGUAAAGGGCUCGUAGGCGGCCAUCUAAGUCAGACGUGAAAUCCCCGGGCUCAACCUGGGAACUGCAUUUGUGACUGCAUCGCUGGAGUGCGGCAGAGGGGGAUGGAAUUCCGCGUGUAGCAGUGAAAUGCGUAGAUAUGCGGAGGAACACCGAUGGCGAAGGCAAUCCCCUGGGCCUGCACUGACGCUCAUGCACGAAAGCGUGGGGAGCAAACAGG
rnacentral:rRNA from 1 species